UACGUAGGUGGCGAGCGUUGUCCGGAAUUACUGGGCGUAAAGGGUGCGUAGGCGGCUUAACAAGUCAGAUGUGAAAUUCCGGGGCUUAACUUCGGAAUUGCAUUUGAAACUAUUGAGCUAGAGUGCAGGAGAGGAAAGCGGAAUUCCUAGUGUAGCGGUGAAAUGCGUAGAUAUUAGGAAGAACACCAGUGGCGAAGGCGGCUUUCUGGACUGUAACUGACGCUGAGGCACGAAAGCGUGGGGAGCAAAC
rnacentral:rRNA from 1 species